rnacentral:misc_RNA from 1 species
AACGCACAUUGCGCCCCUUGGUAUUCCGGGGGGCAUGCCUGUUCGAGCGUCAUAAUAACCCUCAAGCUUAGCUUGGUGUUGGGGCCUGCCUCUGGGCAUCCCUUAAAGCAAGUGGCGGUGCCGUCUGGCUCUAAGCGUAGUAAUAAACCCUCGCUAUAGUGUCUAGUGGUUAGCUUGCCAAAACCCCUAAACUUCUAAGUUUGACCUCGGAUCAGGUAGGGAUACCCGCUGAACUUAA